rnacentral:lncRNA from 1 species
AUAAUAGGAAUAUAUUAAUUAAGUCUAUUAAAAUAAACCAAAAUAUAUUUUAAUCAUUCAUCUUCUUCAUUUUCAUUGAAGUUUAAGAGAAAAUCGCAAAAAAUAAAACUUAAACACCUUAACACUCAUUUAAAUGGAUGUGGCACUAUUAUUGUUUUACUGCAGCCACUCACUACCCAGGAAAUUACAGCCAAGCCUACUUUACUCUGCAAUAUGUGAUAUUGAGUGGAUUCUUACAGUAAGUUAUCUGGUCCAGUUAGAGGAAUGUAAAGAAUACUAUAGAUAUUUAUGUUUGAGAAGAGAACCUUUUCGUAUUACGUUAGGAUUUUUUUAUAUGAAUUAAAAAGUUCAUAAAAAGUACUCUAAAACUUGUAAAAAUGAAAUAAGAACAAAAUAAUAAAUAUGAC